rnacentral:tRNA from 1 species
AAGGGAGACCUAAUUCGGGUAGAAGACGAAAAAAUAGUAGUCGAAACCAAGAAUCAAUCCCAAAAGGUCGGAACGAGGUAUGUGGCUUUCAAACUAGGUUCUGGGUUCACAAAAGACCUGAAUCAGGAACAAGGGCUAUUAGCUCAGGUGGUUAGAGCGCACCCCUGAUAAGGGUGAGGUCCCUGGUUCGAGUCCAGGAUGGCCCACCUGCACAGGUGGCAAAAACAAGAGAAACGAGGAACCAGCACCUUAUCUUACUUACAUAGUAAGAGAGAAUGCUGGCUCUGAGUAAAGAGUCCAGAGGAACCUUGAAAACUGCAUAGAGCUAGGUGAAAAAGCCAAAAAAGGAGACCGCAA